UCUGACAACAAGAUAGACCUGCCGCACACGUCUACACAUAGAUAUUCCAAAGUUUUAGUCUUGGAUCUCUGAUGAUGCUCGUAUUUGGUGGGAGCAAUUUGAAUUUGGAAUUACCCCCUGGCCCUUGCUACAUCUCCAAGAAGUUUGUCAACUGGCCCAACUCCCAGCCUCAGGAUCAGCAGAUAUGAGCUGUGAUGCGCCUCAGAAUACCCAGCUUCAAGCUCUAUUUGCUGCAGAGAAUGAAGAGUGCAAUGUGUACACUGGGGCCUACCGAAAGCAAUCACGGACAGAUGUUAGGGAGGUGCAGGAUUUAGCAGGUCUCAAGAUUGAUCAGUUGCUGGCAGCCAGAAGCUGUCCAAGCAGUAACAUCGAGCCAUGGAUUGCUCAAGUUCGAUCGAUCUCAGAUUCAGAGGUAUAGAAUUGUCUGGAUGGAAGGGAAAUACAACAGCAAAUGGAUAGUGGCAAGAAGACAGGAUCCAGAAAACAAGAAGAAGCGAAUUGAGUGGGAAGAUUCAGUCACGAAAUCCUCAAUACUCUUGUAUGAUUUCCAGUUACGUCCACCAGUCAUCUACGUAAAAAGACAAUAAAACAUUUAAAGAGUGUAUACCAAGAGCUAAAGCAAAGUAACACC